AACGAACGCUGGCGGCAGGCUUAACACAUGCAAGUCGAACGCCCCGCAAGGGGAGUGGCAGACGGGUGAGUAACGCGUGGGAAUCUACCCAGAUCUUCGGAACAACUGAGGGAAACUUCAGCUAAUACCGGAUACGCCCUACGGGGGAAAGAUUUAUCGGUUCUGGAUGAGCCCGCGUUGGAUUAGCUAGUUGGUGAGGUAAAGGCUCACCAAGGCGACGAUCCAUAGCUGGUCUGAGAGGAUGAUCAGCCACACUGGGACUGAGACACGGCCCAGACUCCUACGGGAGGCAGCAGUGGGGAAUAUUGGACAAUGGGCGAAAGCCUGAUCCAGCCAUGCCGCGUGAGUGAUGAAGGCCUUAGGGUUGUAAAGCUCUUUCAGUGGGGAAGAUAAUGACGGUACCCACAGAAGAAGCCCCGGCUAACUUCGUGCCAGCCGCCGCAGUAAAAC
rnacentral:rRNA from 1 species